rnacentral:tRNA from 1 species
CGGAGUGUAGCGCAGCUUGGUAGCGCACCUGCUUCGGGAGCAGGGGGUCGGAGGUUCGAAUCCUCUCACUCCGACCA